AAUGUCUAUACAAAAAAAAAAAAAAACAACAACAAAUGUCUAUACAAGACAAGAAGGAAAUUUUUAAAAAUCCAAGAAGGAAAUUUUAAAAAACAAGCCCAUUUAUAGUAGCAUCACAAAGAAUAAAGUACUUGGUAAUAAAUUUAACUGAGGAAGUGCAAGGCUUACACAAUGAAAAGUGCAAAGCAUUGCUGAGAUAAAGAUCUAAAUAAAUGGAAAGACAUCCCACGUUCAUGGAUUAGAAGACUUAUUGUUUAGAUGACUUUAGUCUCCAAAGUAGUCUACAGAUUCAGUGCAAUCCCUAUCAAAAAUCCAAUGGCCCUUUUUUUGCAGAAAUGGAAAAGCUAAAAAAAAAAAAAAAAAAGAAAUGGAAAAGCUAAUCCUAAAAUUCAUAUGAGACUGCAAGUGACCCAAAGAGCUAAAAUAAUCUUUAAAAAAACAAAGUUAAAGGACUCCCAUUUCCUGACUUCAAAAUGUAUUACAAAGCUACAGUGAUUAAAAACUGGUAUGAGGAUAAAUACAUAGACCAGUAUUAUGAAAUACAAAGUCCAGAAAUAAACUAUGGUCAAUACACUAUGAGCAACUGAUUUUCAACAAGGGUACCAAGACUGUUCAAUAAAGAAUGGUCUCAAAAAAAAAAAAAAAAAAAAAAAAUAGUCUCUUCACCAAAUGGUGCUGAAACAACAUUAUUCAUGUGGAAAAGAAUGAAAUUGGACACUUAAUUCACAAAUGUGUAAAUUUUAACCCAAAAUAAAUCAAAGAUCUACAUAUAAGAGAUAAAACCAUAAAACUCUGAAGAGAAAAUAUAGGCAUAAAUCUUCAUGACCUUGGAUUUGGCAAUGGUUUCACAUAUUUUAUACUAAAAGCAUAAGGCAACAAAAAAUAGAUAAGUUGGACUUCAUCAAAAUUAAAAGCUUCUAUGCAUCACAGAACACUAUCAAGAAAGUGAAAAGACAAAAAAAAAUGAAAAGACAGCCCACAGAAUGAGAAAACAUUUGCAAAUCAUGUAAGAUUCUAUCCAAAAUAAGUAAAAAAACCCUACACUCAACAACAAACAGCUAAACAACCCAUUUAAAAAUGAGCAAAGUACUUGAAUAGACAUUUCUCCAAUGAAGGUAAGUGGUCAACAAGCACAUGAACAGAUGCUCAACAUAAUUACUCAUUAGGGAAGUGCAAUCAAAACCAUACUUUGAUACCAUUUAAAAUCCACUAGGGUGACUAUAAUUUUUAAAACAGAAAAUAAGUGUUGGAGAGAAUGUGGAGAAAUUGGAACUUUUGUACAUUGCUUGUGGGAUGGUUAAAUGGUAUAGGUAUAGUGGAAAACAAUUUGGUGGAUCCUCAAUAAAUUAAACAUAGAAUUGCCAUGUGACCAAGCAAUUCCACCCUUGGGUAUAUAUAUAUACUCCCACUAAAAUAAGAAACCCUGAAAAUAGAUGUUCAAACAAAAAUUUCCACAAAAAUAUUCAUAGCAACAUUAUUUAUAGUAGCCAAAAGGUAGAAACAACCUAAAUGUCCAUCAGCUGAUGAAUAAACAAAUUGUGGUGCAUAACAUAAUAUUUUUCAGCCAUAAAAAGAAGUACAGAUACAUACGACAACACUGAACCUUGAAAACAUUAUGCUAAGUAAAAUAAGCCAGACAUGAAAGACCACUUAUUGUAUCUUCCAUUUAUAUGAAAUAUACAAGAUAGGCAAAUUUGUGGAACCAGGCAAAAUGUGAAAGGAAGAGGGAGUGGGGGAUGACUGCUUAAUGAGUAAGGAGUUUCCUUUCAGGGUGAUAAAAAUGUUCUGGAACUAGAGAUGAUUACACAACAUGGGAAGGUACUGACUGCCACUUAUGACAAAUUUUAUGUAUAUUUUACAACAAUAAAAACCUUAAUAGGUACAUUUAAAAUUGUUAUUUCAAUGCAUAACAAUGGGCAUUCUCUCUGUAUUACUAGGAUUGAAACUCUGCAUUUAUAUUCAUCCCAAAAGAGAUUUUUUCUAAAUGUAAUCUACAAGUAAAUGGAUUUUUUUAAAGUCUGAGAGAAAAUCUCUUUAGAUUGUAAUUCUAGUCUAAGAGUGAGAAAUGAUGACAAAGAGGAAAUUUUGAUUGGAAGCUCUUUAGCAAUGCCUGGUAUACAACAGGCAUUCCAUUAAUGUUAAAAGUACAAGUAAGUAUCUUUUCAUAAACUCUGUAUAAUGCUUGAAAUUGUGGGCAGCCCCGGUGGUACAGCAGUUUAGUGCCACCUGCAGCCCGGGGUGUGAUCCUGGAGACUAGGGAUCGAGUCCCAAGUUGGGCUCCCUGCAUGGAGCCUGCUUCUCCCUCUGCCUGUGUCUCUGCCUCUCUCUGUGUGUCUCUAUGAAUAAAUAAAAUAAUAAAUCUUUAAAAAAAA
rnacentral:lncRNA from 1 species